UUCGGUGGUCAUAGCGUGAGGGAAACGCCCGGUUACAUUCCGAACCCGGAAGCUAAGCCUUACAGC
rnacentral:rRNA from 1 species